CCACAGGUUUCCUUGCAACUUCAUCGUGAUCAAGCAAACGUAAGCACAUCAUGCAAAGUUUUCCGAAAGCAGAAUUGAAACCCUCAACUAAGUGACUUCGUAACCUCAAACCUACUUUUUUGCUUACUGGGAAAAGAGAACACUUUCAUCGUGAAAGAUUUAAUUUCAAUUUAGCAACAGGUUAACUUCCAACUUCACCAUAUAGAAGAACCAUCGC
rnacentral:lncRNA from 1 species